GGCCCGGUAGCUCAGUCGGUAGAGCAGAGGACUGAAAAUCCUUGUGUCGGUGGUUCGAUUCCGCCCUUGGCCACCA
rnacentral:tRNA from 1 species